rnacentral:tRNA from 1 species
GCGAGAGUAGCCAAGCUGGCCAACGGCGACAGACUCAAGAUCUGUUCCCGCAGGGGUUCGUCGGUUCAAAUCCGGCCUCUCGCA